rnacentral:rRNA from 1 species
GACGAACGCUGGCGGCGUGCUUAACACAUGCAAGUCGAACGAUGAAGAAGAGAAACGCGAACUUCGGUUCAAAUUUCACUUCGGAUUAGUGGCAGACGGGUGAGUAACGCGUGAGCAACCUACCUCUUACAAAGGGAUAGCCUCGGGAAACCGUGAUUAAUACCAUAUGACACAUUCAUAAGGCAUCUUAAGAAUGUUAAAGCUACGGCGGUAAGAGAUGGGCUCGCGUCCCAUUAGCUAGUUGGUGAGGUAACGGCCCACCAAGGCGACGAUGGGUAACCGGCCUGAGAGGGUGACCGGUCACAUUGGAACUGAGACACGGUCCAAACUCCUACGGGAGGCAGCAGUGGGGAAUAUUGCACAAUGGAGGGAACUCUGAUGCAGCGACGCCGCGUGAGCGAUGAAGGAAUUCGUUUCGUAAAGCUCUGUUCUAUGGGAAGAAAAGGACUGUACCAUAGGAGAAAGCCCCGGCUAAAUACGUG